rnacentral:rRNA from 1 species
AUUGAAUGCUGGCGGCAGGCCUCACACAUGCAAGUCGAGCGGAGCGGCGGAGGGGUGAGUAAGGCCUAGGAAUCUGCUUGGUAGUGGGGGAUAACGUCCGGAGACGGGCGCUAAUACCGCAUACUACCCGAUCAGCCUAGGUGGGAGUAGCUAUUUGGUGGGGUAAAGGCCUACCAAGGCGACGAUCCGUAACUGGUCUGAGAGGAUGAUCAGUCAAACUGGAACUGAGACACGGUCCGGACUCCUACGGGAGGCAGCAGUGGGGAAUAUUGGACAAUGGGCGAAAGCGUGAUCCAGCCAUGCGGCGUGUGUGAAGAAGGUCUUCGGAUUGUAAAGCACUUUAAGUUGGGAGGCGUUACCAACAGAAUAAGCACCGGCUAACUUCGUGCCAGCAGCCGCGGUAAUUC